rnacentral:rRNA from 1 species
GAUGAACGCUGGCGGCGUGCCUAAUACAUGCAAGUCGAGCGAACAGACGAGGAGCUUGCUCCUCUGACGUUAGCGGCGGACGGGUGAGUAACACGUGGAUAACCUACCUAUAAGACUGGGAUAAUUUCGGGAAACCGGAGCUAAUACCGGAUAACAUGUUGAACCGCAUGGUUCAACAGUGAAAGACGGUCUUGCUGUCACUUAUAGAUGGAUCCGCGCCGCAUUAGCUAGUUGGUAAGGUAACGGCUUACCAAGGCAACGAUGCGUAGCCGACCUGAGAGAGUGAUCGGCCACACUGGAACUGAGCCACGGUCAAGACUCCUACGGGAGGCAGCAGUAGCGAACCUUCCGCAAUGGGCGAAAGCCUGACGGAACAACGCCGCGUGAGUGAAGACGGUCUUCGGAUCGUAAAACUCUGUUAUUAGGGAAGAACAAAUGUGUAAGUAACUAUGCACGUAUUGACGGUACCUAAUCAGAAAGCCACGGCUAACUACGUG